GGAUGCUGCAUUCGAGGACUUUUACCAUCCACUGGCCCCUGGUUUGAUGCCACAGCUCCGACUUUAUGGUGCUCAUGAUCUGUCCAUGUUUGGGAGCAUCUAUCUGUGCGAACAGAUGUUUUCAAUAAUGAAUCUAAACAAGAUCAAACACAGAUCACGCAUUAUCAAUGACAACCUCCAUGCUGUUUUGCGGAUUGCCAUAGCACAAGACCUAAAACCAGACGCUGACACACUGGCCAAGGGAAAACUGUUAGACAUCUGGCCAGAAAACACACAGAAAAUGAUCUAUGGAUAAGGAUGUUUGAGAUGGUGUCUAUGGGUGAGGAGGGAUCUACGUACUUGGUGUGUUCAAGGACAGGCAGCAUCACCUCAUUGUUGUUUUUGUAAAAUGCUACUUCUGUCACACUUGUUGGUUGCGCCAUAGUUCUGCCCCCCUUGACUGUG